ensembl:lncRNA
AACUUGGAAUGACUUUUCAUAGGUUUCCCAGAGACUAUGGGUUGAGGAGGAAGUGGAAGUUUGUCGGCUUAGACCUGGUGUCAUUCCAUCAGUGUUAAACUUCCCGGCUCAUCUUGGAAGAGUACGUGCCAGAAAGACCACGACCAAGUAGCCUUGAGAUCUUAGGCAGCGUCUCCCUCAGGUCCCUCUCUAUCUCCCCACACAUCCACCAACCACUGGAACACAUCUCCAAAGUUCUGCCGGGCCAGCUCAGCUUCCCCUCAGAAGAAGUGCCGCCACCUGCCAGAUGAAGGAGCCUUUUGAGAGGCAGCUGGCAUCGUGAUUGAACUGUACUUUGGUCUGUUCCAAUCCAGCUUCAGCUCCAGAGACGGCAGGCGGGACGAGUCAACGGAGGCCGGGUGGACGAAGACCAAAGAACUACAGACUCUUCACAACCUGCUCAAACUCUUGGUACAGGACCUCACCACACGGGUCAAGCAGGUUUCCGUGUCAU